GUGACUUCUCAGUCUUUUGGCUAAGAUCAAGUGUAGUAUCUGUUUUAAUUUUUUCUCCCCUUGAAAUGAGGUGAAGGAUUCUUUCUUUUUUCAUUUUUUAAAAAAUCAUGCACUUAAGAGAAUAAGCAUU
ensembl:snRNA U2 U2 spliceosomal RNA